AUUGAACGCUGGCGGCAGGCCUAACACAUGCAAGUCGAGCGGAUGAAGGGAGCUUGCUCCUGGAUUCAGCGGCGGACGGGUGAGUAAUGCCUAGGAAUCUGCCUGGUAGUGGGGGAUAACGCCCGGAAACGGGCGCUAAUACCGCAUACGUCCUGAGGGAGAAAGUGGGGGAUCUUCGGACCUCACGCUAUCAGAUGAGCCUAGGUCGGAUUAGCUAGUUGGUGGGGUAAAGGCCUACCAAGGCGACGAUCCGUAACUGGUCUGAGAGGAUGAUCAGUCACACUGGAACUGAGACACGGUCCAGACUCCUACGGGGGGCAGCAGUGGGGAAUAUUGGACAAUGGGCGAAAGCCUGAUCCAGCCAUGCCGCGUGUGUGAAGAAGGUCUUCGGAUUGUAAAGCACUUUAAGUUGGGAGGAAGGGCAGUAAGUUAAUACCUUGCUGUUUUGACGUUACCAACAGAAUAAGCACCGGCUAACUUCGUG
rnacentral:rRNA from 1 species